CGCACUCGGCACUGGGCGGCGCUGGCUGCUCCCUGGCUGCGGCUCCUCAGUCGGCGGCGGCGGCGGCUGCCUGUGGCCCGGCGGCUGGGAGAAGCCGAGUGCUGGUGACUAAAUGACCAUGGAAUCUGGAGCCGAGAACCAGCAGAGUGGAGAUGCAGCCGUAACAGAAGCUGAAAACCAGCAAAUGACAGUUCAAGCCCAGCCACAGAUUGCCACAUUAGCCCAGGUAUCUAUGCCAGCAGCUCACGCAACAUCAUCUGCUCCCACCGUAACUUUAGUACAGCUGCCCAAUGGGCAGACAGUUCAAGUCCAUGGAGUUAUUCAGGCGGCCCAGCCAUCAGUUAUUCAGUCUCCACAAGUCCAGACAGUUCAGUCUUCCUGUAAGGACUUAAAAAGACUUUUCUCCGGAACUCAGAUUUCAACUAUUGCAGAAAGUGAAGAUUCACAGGAGUCAGUGGAUAGUGUAACUGAUUCCCAAAAACGAAGAGAAAUUCUUUCAAGAAGGCCUUCCUACAGGAAAAUUUUGAAUGACUUAUCUUCUGAUGCACCAGGAGUGCCAAGGAUUGAAGAAGAGAAGUCUGAAGAGGAGACUUCAGCACCUGCCAUCACCACUGUGACGGUGCCGACUCCGAUUUACCAAACCAGCAGUGGACAAUAUAUUGCCAUUACCCAGGGAGGAGCAAUACAACUGGCUAACAAUGGUACGGAUGGGGUACAGGGCCUGCAAACAUUAACCAUGACCAAUGCAGCUGCUACGCAGCCGGCUACCACCAUUCUGCAGUAUGCACAGACCACUGAUGGACAGCAGAUUUUAGUGCCCAGCAACCAAGUUGUUGUUCAAGCUGCCUCUGGAGAUGUACAGACAUACCAGAUUCGCACAGCACCCACAAGCACCAUUGCCCCUGGAGUUGUUAUGGCAUCCUCCCCAGCACUUCCUACACAGCCUGCAGAAGAGGCAGCACGAAAGAGGGAGGUCCGCCUCAUGAAGAACAGGGAAGCAGCACGAGAAUGUCGUAGAAAGAAGAAAGAAUAUGUGAAAUGUUUAGAAAACAGAGUGGCAGUUCUGGAAAACCAAAACAAGACACUGAUUGAGGAGCUAAAGGCACUUAAGGACCUUUACUGCCACAAAUCAGAUUAAUUUGGGAUUUAAAUUUCACCUGUUAUGGUGGAAAAAGAACUGGCUUGGCCACAACCAGAAAGACAAAAUAAACAUUUUAUUUUCUAAACAUUUCUUUUUUUCUAUGCGCAAAACUGCCUGAAAGCAACUACAGAAUUUCAUUCAUUUGUGCUUUUGCAUUAAACUGUGAAUGUUCCAACACCUGCCUCCACUUCUCCCCUCGAGAAAUUUUCAGCACCAGGAAUCAUGAAGAGACUUCUGCUUUUCAUCCCCCACCCUCUUCAGAAAGUAAUAAUUCGUUUACCUGUAAAUUGAUGGGGGAAAUGAGGAAAAGGAAAUCUUUUUUUAAACGAUUUCAAGGUUUGUGCUGACUCCUUGAUUGCCUUAGGGACAGAAUUACCCCAGCUUCUUGAGCUGAAGUAAUGUGUGGGCCGCACGCAUAAAGAUGAACAGAGUUUAUGAAGGAGCAUCAUUCUAAGAAUUGAGUGAUGUAGUCUUAUAUUUGGACAAUUCACCAGAUUCUCAAGAAGGCUUUCAAACAACUGUAAAGUUUUAUGUUUAUCCUGCUGAGCUAGUGGAGAAAGGUAUAGCAUAAAAAUUAUUUGUAUACCAACAUAGAUGUGUCAUUUUCCAAAAUUGGUUUAACAGAAACCAAGCAAAAUCACAAAUAUGUUCACAAACUAGAAUUCUUUCUUAAUGAGUCAAAUGGUCAAAAUUGAACAUUUUGAAUAUCAUACACUUUAUAAAUGAAAAUUGCCUAGUAUUUAGCAAGUUGUGUUCUCUAAAAUUGAACAUUUUUCAGAAGUUGAGGCUUUCUAUUCAGUUAGGAAGUUGGUGGUCCUCUGCAGUCCCUGAUAAAUCAAGGCAGUCACAUCCAUAUUAGCUGUUUGGAUUUAUAAGUUACUAAGACCGGGUCCUUUGUACCUAAGGAUGAUUGCACUGGUUUGAAGUCAGUUACUUAAUGAUGAGGUAAAAAACAUAUUCAGUUGCUAAAUCUGUUUUAGACCCUUGGAGAGACUUGAAGAUUUCAGUUUAUACAGUUAGAAAUUAAGCAUCUUUUGUGCAGACUUUUUUUUUAAUGAGAAUUGGAAAAAGGUGUUUGUUUUUAAGCAUGCAACUUUGAGAAUCUUUAUUAAGAAAAAAGACAUAACUUAAAAAAAAUCUUAUAGCCAAGAACAUAUGUGGCCACAUUAUAAAUGUUUUUUCUCUUCAUUAUUGGCCAAAAGGGAAUGAAAAUGUCAACAUAGGAAUCUGUACAUAUGCUACUGAUUUGCUUAGAAAUAAAAAGUUUGGUAUUGCUCACUUUGCAAAUAUAGGGCCAUUUGGCACUUUUAUCUAUAGGACAGAUGAACUCUAAUAAAAAUGAAGUGGGAGGGGUUUAUUUUUGAUAUAUUGCUCUUAUAAGUUUUCAAGCUUUGAUAGUGUUUAACUGAAAAGUGGUUUAGAAAGGGCUAGAUCCAAUGUGUUCACAUUAUUAAAAUAUUGAUAUCAGGUGUAAUUUUAAGUUUAAAGUUCAUUCUUUUUCAAACUCAAGUACCAUAUUGGCAACCAUAAUAUUGUCAUAGGUGCUCUGUUCAUUUAGAUAUUCUUGGGGGGGAUAUGGCAUUUGUAUAAUAUAUGUGUACAUAUAUAUAUAUAUACAUACAGUAUAUAAUCUGAAGCUCUGAGAGCUUUUAAUUCAGGAAUGCUGAGUAUUAUAGUAUAUUGAGGUCAGAUGAAAUUUUACAUUUUUGCUUGUUCUAGUGCAUCCCUUUUGGUAGUUCCUUGGACUGCAUUACUCCAGCACUCAUGAUUGAUUUUUAUCUUCUAAUUUUCUUCCAAGUAUUUUACCUUUUUUUAUUGUUAGUUUUCUUUGGCGUGAUACUUUUAAAUGUUACUAGUCACUUGAAAGCUACCCCCCAAAAAAAAUAUUUGGUUUUUAUGCUUUGUCUCUGGCAGCUAUUAACAGUGGUAAGAACAUUUUGAAGAUAACUUCUAAAACGUACCACUGACUUUUCAGAAAUCAUCCUGGGGGAGGAAUUUUGGUGUUUUCAUUUGAGCAGGGGUCUUUGUCGGGAAAUGAGUUUUGAGGUUGUCUGCAGCAGUGCUCGUAUCUGAAAGCACGAUGCCAGUUGGCAGGCUGUCCAAUCAGAGUCCUCUGGCUGAAGGUCAUCUCUGUCUCUCAGGCCUAAUCCCUACUAUCCUUUUGACUAUUUGGGGUGACAUGUGGAAUCAUACAAAGAAAGGCUUAGGAAGAAACAAGUUUGUUUAAACCAGGAUGCUUUUACUUACUUGAAGUGACUUCAAUCUAGAUUGUUUUCAUUUUUAACGUUUUUAAUUCUCUGAUCAACUACAGUCAGCUAUUAGCACACAUUGGUCUCUUUAUUUUGAAGAUCAAAAAGGCUGCUUCAUUUUGCAGGAUUAAGUAAGGCUAAUAUCUUAAAGUUAAGAUUUUGAAUUAAAGUGGGUUUUAGAACUAGUGGGUAUACAUCUUUUCAGUUAUUUUCAAGAGGCUUUAUUUGUUGCUUUUGUAACCCUGAAAACUGUUGGUAUGUUGUUUCCCAUUGACCUAAUACAAAAGUUGUAUAUUUAUUUGGAUUAUAUUUACAUUAUAGUCUUUGUAAAUGUUUGGUGUAACUUGCACUUUUAAAAAUGACCCGGUGUGGGUAUUAGCAACUUGAGAAAUUCCCUCAUUAAUUAAUUGUCAACUGACUUUUUAUGUCUUUCCCCUUUCUUCAAAUCGUGUGACUUUUUUAUGGAAGCUAUUCAUUGAUUAAAAUAUUUUAGCACCUAAAGGCUAACCUUAUAUAUAGCUGUAAAAGAAAAAUACCAGGAAAUUAGAUUUGACUAGCCCAGCUGAUUAAAAGAUGGGUUCAAACCCUAUCUUACUCUUUUUCAUCAUGGAUAAAGACAGAAGGAAAAGCAACUCAAGUGAAUAAAUAUUUAUUUCCAAUUUUAAAUGUGACUUUAUCCUCACCCUAAUAUUAAUACUGUCUGUAGGAUACCAAGAUAUAAUUUGUCCAGAACAGUAAAAGAUUUUUUCAAGGCAAUUAAUUAUUGUCAUCAUGGAGACCACAUGUAAUCAUUUGACCAAAUUUUUUUCACUGUAAAUUGGCUUUGUUACAUCAAAGAAAUAAUGCCUAGAUUUGACUGCUUUCGGGUGAGGAGGGGAGGUUGCAGUGUGCUUCGUAAGCCUGUAGGUAAAGAUUUGUGGGAUAAAUUGCUCCCUGAGUUGUACAAAGCACAACUAGAACUUUUUGUCGGGUGGCUGACAUACAUCUUGAAUACUUUUACAUUGACAUGUUGACCUUUUGAGUUGACUGCACAGUCACUGUGUGUACUAGGAACUGGUUUCCUCGACUUAGCAAUGGCUGGGAGAGGCACUGAUCCCUGAGGGUGGACAUAUCAUGAAGCUGAGUCAGUAUGGAAGAAUUUCACAUAAUCAAACAGGGUGCUGAAGUUCCAUCUGUCUCAUCUGCUUAUGAUAAGUUCUUGUUGAUUAGUGAAUGUAGCUUAAGGCUUUGUAUGUGUCCUCGGAGGGCAGACAGACUUUAACAGGGACCAGAUACUGUUUGAAUGGAGGGAUUAUAUUUCAGGUGUUUUAGCUUGAAAUUUAUUUUUUAAAAAAAUAAAAAUA